rnacentral:rRNA from 1 species
CCUACGGGGCGCAGCAGUAAGGAAUAUUGGUCAAUGGACGAAAGUCUGAACCAGCCAUGCCGCGUGGAGGAUGAAGGUCCUCUGGAUUGUAAACUUCUUUUAUAUGGGACGAAAAAAGGGUUUUCUAACUCGUCUGACGGUACCAUAUGAAUAAGCACCGGCUAACUCCGUGCCAGCAGCCGCGGUAAUACGGAGGGUGCAAGCGUUAUCCGGAUUCACUGGGUUUAAAGGGUGCGUAGGUGGGUUGGUAAGUCAGUGGUGAAAUCUCCGAGCUUAACUUGGAAACUGCCAUUGAUACUAUCAGUCUUGAAUAUUGUGGAGGUCAGCGGAAUAUGUCAUGUAGCGGUGAAAUGCUUAGAUAUGACAUAGAACACCAAUUGCGAAGGCAGCUGGCUACACAUCUAUUGACACUGAGGCACGAAAGCGUGGGGAUCAAACAG